rnacentral:misc_RNA from 1 species
CCCGUGUUUAUAAGGCGUAAUAUUCAACUGGAGGUAAAAGAGUUUAUAUUAAACAAUUAUUUGUUAUUAAUAAUAUUAUUUGUUGCUAACAACAAUAUUUUUUACAGAUACCUUACUUUUUUAUCGUUCCGGCUGCUGUAUUAUGCGAUUCUUGUGUGUUGGUUGGUAUAUCGGAAGCUUUAGUGCAAGAUGUUCGAAGAAAAACUUAUAGCAGAGAUUGAAAAACACAACUGCUUGUGGGACAAACGACAGCUUAGUUACCGCGAUCGGGUGAAGAAAGAUUUGGCUUGGCGAAAUGUAGCUGCUGCUGUGGGACAUCCUGAGGAAAACUGCCGAAAGCGAUGGAAAUCGUUAAGAGACCGAUAUGGAAUAGAAUUGAAGGUUGAUCAACAACCUAGCGGAAGUGCUGCGUCGUUUUUGAAAGACACGGUCACGCCCAGACAGACAACAACAAACAUCGUCUCCCAAACGCCAGAAGUUCUCGGACAAGAACCAGAUAUACUGGAUACUUCCUUUGGAUUCCAAAUAGGCGAGAGUGGGAACAUUAUAAUAGAAGAUCAAGAAACCACUGCCCCAACGCCGGCUAAGAGACAAAAGAAAAAAAACGAUGAGAACGCCGCCUUUAACGAUCUAGUCAACGAAAUGUGUCUUCAGAGCAUCCCUUAAAUCAUAAUUAUUUGAACUGCCUCGGUUCGAUGACACCCUACUUAUUGAGGGCAAUGGAACUACUUCGUUUCGCCAUGAGCCAGCGAUGGUGGCAUCCUCUUCGUAGCGAUCAACAAAAUCGCUUGCUACAUAGUUUGCACACGAAAGCUUAAUAAAAUUAUGCAAGACAAUACAAGCUUUCACUAUUUGUUCUGCAUUUUUCGGGGCCAUGCAUAGCGUCGUUCUCAAUAUUCUCCAUUUGGCAGUGAGUAUUCCAAAUGCGUUUUCUAUAACUCUUCUUGCACGAGAGAGUCUUUUAUUGAAAUACUCUUGCUCUUCUGGAAUACCUCUACCCGGAUAUGGUCGCAUUAAAUAACGCCGUAAGGGAAAAGCAGCAUCUCCUACUAAAUAAUGUGGAAAUGGCUCGGUUUCUCCUGGCAGAGGCUGAUCAUGUGGAAGGCCGAGCCUAUCAUUUUCAAUAGCAUCUGCCAGUUUUGAAAAGUGGUAGACACCGCCAUCGCUUUGACUUCCAUAUGCUCCGAUGUCAACGCAGGUAAAGGUAUAAUUGGCAUCACAUACGGCCAAAAGCACGAUACUAUAAUUGCCUUUGUAAUUAUAGUACAUCGACCCUGAAUUCGCUGGACAGGUAAUAUUAAUGUGCUUUCCGUCGAUGGAACCAACGCAGUCAGCUAACAGAUCCCAUAUGGUCAUACAUGUCUCCAACGUAAUCUUCCUGAAAGUCGUCAGGCCGAUCCUGUGAACUAUUGUGUGGAAUUGCCGAGUGCCACCGUGAGCCAAAUAUCUGCAACAAAAAAA